CAGAGCCCCGCGCGCUGACGUCAGGCUGGCGGCGGCCUUCUGCGCAGGUGCCUGCGGUCCUCCGCUUUGGUGUGUGUUAGGCCUAGGCGUUUUCUAAAACCUCAGCGCUGUUAGUACCCCGGGGAACUUGGAGAGGGAAGUAGGCGCUCAAAAAGGAGACGUGGGAAAAAGAAAAGGCGACGUGGGAGAAUGGGCAAGCUGCUCAGGGAGUGGAAACUUAACGGAACAAAAACGACCUGUCUUAAUGAUUCCUACUGCCCUGUGCACUACAGCUGCUCGGAAGGCUUGGCUGUCCGCCUUCCCCUCUGCUUUUGAAGUUUCAUUCAUAUGCUACCUCCUCCAGGAAGCUUUCUCUGACACCCAAUGCCCCAAACCUACCUGACAUGCAGACCUCCUCCAGAUCCAGAACCUCGUGCUCUCUCUGGCUUUGGAGCCUCCUUCUCGCCAGCUUCCGUCUUCACCGUCAGUCCGGCUCCCACCCAGCUCCUUGAUGGUCACUACCCACACCCCAGAGUGGCAGCUGCCUCCCCAGCAAAAGAUAGCACGACACUGUUCAUUGCUAAUUUGGUUAACACCUGGCAACCCCAAGAGUUGUUGACAUCACACCUAUAUAAACAGUAUGACUGUCCCUGGAGAAAAAAUGAUACCUGCUCACAUACCUUUACACAGACAAGGUGGCUCUGGGUGUACCUGCUUCCAAACUACACUGAUGAAAUGAAGGGCUAAAAAGAAAUAGAGUGCUUCUCACCAGCCUGAGUUGAUUGUAUCAGACAAUUUCAGCUUAAUUCCCAUGGGGGAAAGCCAAUGAGUCAAAGUUAACAAGACCAAAAGAUCAUGUAUUCAGCUACUCAACAAACAGUACUAGGCACUGUUCUUAGCCUCAGGGAUAAAGCAACUUUAAAAAUAGCCAAAUCUCUUUCUUCCUGGAGGUUUUCUUACAACAAAAGGAAA
rnacentral:lncRNA from 1 species